CACGUAGGGUGCGAGCGUUGUCCGGAUUUAUUGGGCGUAAAGAGCGUGUAGGCGGCUUUGCAAGUCCGUUGUGAAAACUCGAGGCUCAACCUCGAGACGCCGGUGGAAACUGCAAAGCUAGAGUCCGGAAGAGGAGAGUGGAAUUCCUGGUGUAGCGGUGAAAUGCGCAGAUAUCAGGAGGAACACCGGUGGCGAAGGCGGGUCUCUGGGCCGAUACUGACGCUGAGGAGCGAAAGCGUGGGGAGCGAACAGG
rnacentral:rRNA from 1 species